AGUGAACGCUGGCGGUAGGCCUAACACAUGCAAGUCGAACGGCAGCACAGUAAGCGCUUUCCUUUACGGGUGGCGAGUGGCGGAUGGGUGAGGAGUACAUCGCAAUCUACUUUUUCUUGGGGGAUAACGUAGGGAAACUUACGGUAAUACCGCAUACGAUCUACGGGUGAAAGCAGGGGAUCUUCGGACCUUGCGCGAUUGAAUGAGAUGAUGUCGGAUUAGCUAGUUGGCGGGGUAAAGGCCCACCAAGGCGACGCUCCGUAGCUGGUCUGAGAGGAUGAUCGGCCACACUGGAACUGAGACACGGUCCAGACUCCUACGGGAGGCAGCAGUGGGGAAUAUUGGACAAUGGGCGCAAGCCUGAUCCAGCCAUGCCGCGUGAGUGAAGAAGGCCUUCGGGUUGUAAAGCCCUUUUGUUAGGAAAGAAAAGCUGCGGGUUAAAACCCCGCUGUUCUGACGGUACCCAAAGAAUAAGCACCGGCUAACUUCGUG
rnacentral:rRNA from 1 species